rnacentral:rRNA from 1 species
UAUAGCAAUAGCUACUUGCAUCUUUGUAAUGAUGCAAGAUCGACUAUGUCGAAUAAAAUUCUAGGUAGAAUUAUGAUAAUGACAUUGUCUGCCUAUGUGUCUUGACCAAAUUACGUGCCAGCAGUCGCGGUAAUACGUAGAAGACUAGUGUUAUUCAUGUUUAAUCGGUUUAAAGGGUACCUAGACGGUAAAUCAAGCUUUCCAAGAAAUAAAGUUAAAGGACUAAUUUACUAGAGUUACUUAUGAGGGGGUAUUAAAGUACUGCUGGUGUAGAGAUGAAAUUCUGUCAUACCUCUUUUCAAUAGAAAAAUGAUGGCACAGGUAUAGGCGAAGGCAUCCCCUUAUGUGAUAACUGACGUUGAGGGACGAAGGCUUUGUGUAGCGAACAGGAUUAGAUACCCCAGUAGUCGAAGCAGAAAAUGAUGAAUGUCAUAGAUUAGAGGUAAGUUUAUUCUAUAAAUGAAAGUGUAAGCAUUCCACCUCAUGAGUAAUUUGGCAACAUUGGAACUGAAAUCAUUAGACCGUUUCUGAAACCAGUAGUGAAGUAUGUUGUUUAAUUUGAUAAUCCGCAAAAAACCUUACCACAAUUUGAAUAUUUAUAUUUUUUUUUAUUGUUUUCUUCUUAAUUUUUUUCUAAGAAGAAAGUUAACACGGAGGCAAUAAGAUAUAUUUACAAGCGUUGCACGGCUGUCUUCAGUUAAUGUCGCGAGACUUUGGUUAGUUCCAUUAAAUUAACGUAGACCCUUACUUUAUUUUUAUAUAGAGUAGUUCUCCGCUAUAUUGGAUAUGAU